rnacentral:lncRNA from 1 species
GGGCCUAUUGGAGAUGCGAUAACGCUCAUUUGAAAACUUCUUCUCCAAUAGAUUAAGGUUGUUCUUUCCUACAAAACAUUAAUGGACAUAUACCCGAGGGAAUAACAAGAUUGAAAUAUGGGUUUUGUUUUCCGUACAUUUUAUUUUUUAUUUUCUUUUAUGCUAAUCAAGAUGAUAUAUGGUUUAAGAUUAUUUAGCAUAAAUUUUGUCUAUUGUGUUUUAUGUUGUUGUUGCAAUUCAAGGCAAAGAUAACUUGUAACAAAAGAUAAAUGGAUAAAUAUUAGUACUCACAAGUUGGACUUUUUAUGCAAAGUUAUCUUUGUCUUGAUUCAUCCCCAGUGUGAACUUAUCUCUUGACUUUCCCCAAUUUAAUUCAAAAUUUUCUGCAGGG